CCUCUGACCACAGGCAACUGUGUGCUUGCAAGGAAUCUUCUUUCCUGAGCCGGUAAAUUCAAAAUGACCAGGGUGUUCACAGGGUACCAGGUUUGAGGGCCACUGACCCUUGAACCCCCAACCCUACCUACUGCCCUAUUCACCCAGGACCACAGCUUACACUCUGGAAAAGCCAAGAAAUGACAGCAGGCAAUGCACACGGAGGAAACAUUUCUGCACAGCAACUGCACAGGAGGACAGCCCAGCUUUCAGGUCUCAGCUUAAAUGUCAUUUCCCUUCUGGACCUGGCAGGGCAGAAGGUGCCAUCGAGGGAGUUGAUGUUUGCCAUGACAAGGACCAAAAGGUUCGGCAUCAGGAGCCCAAGAGCCAGGACAUCCACCAAAGGCUGUUGGUCAAGCUGUUCAGGUUUCCGGCCAGAUGAACCAACUCCACCUUCAACCAGGUUGUGCUGAAGACAUUGUUAAUGAGUCACAGAAACUGGCCACCUCUGUCUCUCUC
rnacentral:lncRNA from 1 species